CAGAGCAACACUAAUAUGACCUACCUACUAUGUUUUAUGUUAUUCUCUUUAAAGGUAAGUAGGUACCUUAAGUAACCUAUUAAAUUUUAUAGAUAAUGUCCUGAAUAAGAAUCCAUUAUAUUAUACAACUUCUGAUGAUUAUAUCCUCUAACUCCACGAGAAACAUAGUCUUAUACACAAACAACCCCUGAUGAUGAUAAUGAUUAUUUCCCCUUACUCCACGAGGAGCAUAUCUUAAAUACCUACAUAUACAACCCCUGCUGAUGAUGAUUAUUAUUUCCUCUCCAUGAGGAGCAUAGCCACAUACAACCCCUAAUCUUUUGUAAUUUUUUAAUGAGCUACAUAACAUUACUACAACCCCUACUUAUUAAGUACAUUUUAAUAAAUGUAUUAUUUCCAGGAAUUCCAUCCUAACUUUAUCAACUACCUAUCUAUCUUCACAAAUGCUUCCUUAUUACGUUCCGUUCCAAUACAAAACCUAGUCUCUUGCGCUUCCUAUUAAAUUUCUUUCGUUUAUAAGUUCGAUCACUCCACGGCAACAAAUUGUGAUUAUAUCAAGGAUAUAAUCACUUUCCUACCCCUAGUAUGUAACAAAUCAUUACGAACAAAACGCAGAGAGACUUAUUAUAACGUAAACAUGUUGAGAGUAUUAGUAAAGUGAGAAAUUAUAACUUGCAGUGAUUUUGUGAAUGUAAAAUAAUGCAGACUGCCAAAAUAUUAUACUAGUCUGUGACGCAAUAAAAGUUACUCUGUUAAAAAAAUAACCUUCUGUCUUUUUGUUGUUUGUGGUGCAAUGCUGCAUAAAGUUUUUCGAACUAAAAACAAACUUUUGAAACUUUCUUCUAUCCAUAAAAUUAAAAGAAAUGCCUUUAUGUAAAAACCACCAUAACAAGUAAAUAUUUACUUACUAAUCGCAAAGGCAAACAAAAAAACUUAAUGUUUUUUCGAGACAAACAUAAAAGAACAGAAAACUUGCUGCCUGACACCUAACAAGAAGAGAUGAAGCAAAAUCUAAUAUCCUGGUCUUUCGGUACCAAAUUGUAACGUUUCGCCUACCCUGCCGGCUACUUAACUCCUACCUAUUGGAUUUACUAAGAAGAUAUUUGAAACUACAACAAAACUUACUUGAGUGAAAUAAAAGUGAAACAAAUACUGCUUUGAAUUGGCCAUGAAACAUCCAGGGAAACCCUACGUUGUGUUGUAACCCAAUAAACGAAAGAUAGUGAAUUAAAUAAAACUAUGACCUAGAACUGAUUACAUACUUC